rnacentral:rRNA from 2 species
UCUGACAACUCUAGAGAUAGAGCGUUCCCCUUCGGGGGACAGAGUGACAGGUGGUGCAUGGUUGUCGUCAGCUCGUGUCGUGAGAUGUUGGGUUAAGUCCCGCAACGAGCGCAACCCUUGAUCUUAGUUGCCAGCAUUCAGUUGGGCACUCUAAGGUGACUGCCGGUGACAAACCGGAGGAAGGUGGGGAUGACGUCAAAUCAUCAUGCCCCUUAUGACCUGGGCUACACACGUGCUACAAUGGAUGGUACAAAGGGCUGCAAGACCGCGAGGUCAAGCCAAUCCCAUAAAACCAUUCUCAGUUCGGAUUGUAGGCUGCAACUCGCCUACAUGAAGCUGGAAUCGCUAGUAAUCGCGGAUCAGCAUGCCGCGGUGAAUACGUUCCCGGGCCUUGUACACACCGCCCGUCACACCACGAGAGUUUGUAACACCCGAAGUCGGUGG